GAUGAACGCUGGCGGCGUGCCUAAUACAUGCAAGUCGAGCGAAUGGAUUAAGAGCUUGCUCUUAUGAAGUUAGCGGCGGACGGGUGAGUAACACGUGGGUAACCUGCCCAUAAGACUGGGAUAACUCCGGGAAACAGGGGCUAAUACCGGAUAAUAUUUUGAACUGCAUGGUUCAAAAUUGAAAGGCGGCUUCGGCUGUUACUUAUGGAUGGACCCGCGGCGCAUUAGCUAGUUGGUGAGGUAACGGCUCACCAAGGCAACGAUGCGUAGCCGACCUGAGAGGGUGAUCGGCCACACUGGGACUGAGACACGGCCCAGACUCCUACGGGAGGCAGCAGUAGGGAAUCUUCCGCAAUGGACGAAAGUCUGACGGAGCAACGCCGCGUGAGUGAUGAAGGCUUUCGGGUCGUAAAACUCUGUUGUUAGGGAAGAACAAGUGCUAGUUGAAUAAGCUGGCACCUUGACGGUACCUAACCAGAAAGCAACGGCUAACUACGUGCCAGCAGCCGCGGUAA
rnacentral:rRNA from 1 species